GCCGUUUUUGCAUUUCUUCCGUGAAACAACUUCUACCGACACUUCCAGUCUGCCUGACAAUUCCUCUGCUAUCCAGAAAUUGCGAUUUCAUUUCAGAGAAUUUAGUGCCAUUGGACUUGUGAAUCUUCACCAAAAGAUCCAGGUUGUUCUCCAUCUCGAUACUAUCUUCCGUGCGUAUAGGAGCUCUUCGCGGUCGUCUUAGUCUUAUUCACCGCUCGGGAUCGGAACCUGUUCACAGACCUGCAAAUUUUAUCAUAACUGAAAUCCCAGGUAAAUGGAUAACAUGUUAAACAGUCGACUGUGGGAAAUGGCAGCGGCUAGCGACGUAGAAGAUUUCAUAACUUGUGGCGUUUGUUUUUUCGAAUACGAUCACGAUGAUAGGAAACCCAAAUUUCUGCAAUGCUCCCACACCGUCUGCCUCUCGUGUUUGAAGGGAAUUCGCCAUGGAGACACGAUUACGUGCCCUUUUUGUCGUGAUACUUUUGUCAAGUUCGAUGUCGAGAGUCUGCCAAACAACGCGUAUGCCUUCUACCUACUAAAAUUAAAGGAUAAAAAUGUGCUGCCGAAACUAUCCGAGAUUGUGACUACUCCUUUGGCAGUCAGCUGGUGUCUGACUUGUGGAUCGGCAGAGAAACGGACAUGUACUUCAUCUGGUCACUCGUCAGUCGAAAUGACAGCUGAUGCAAUCAGAAAUGUAGAAGAGCUCUUCAAAUUAAAAGAAGAACUGAUGAAAAUGAAAAACAUUGGGACCAACCAAUUGACUACGGCCAUUCAGGAACGCCAGAAAGUCCACGAACAACUUGCUCUACUUUUGAAUGCUAUCCAGUGUUCGGAAAAUGAAAUCAAGAAACUUCGAGAUGAGAAUAGUUUUCACUUAGCUCAAAUGAUGACAUUGUUGGAAAGAAACAGUAAAAAAUCCUCCCCCGAUGGUCAACCGAAGGAAAAAUUGUACUUUUCAGAGUUGAUGUCUUUUGUCGAAGGUUCCACCGCAGACGACACUGCAGAGACGCUGAAACAGAAGAUGACCAAAUCCGUGGAAUGGUACGAACAGCAAUGUCGUGAAGCGACCGCAAUAGCUUCAGAGUACGAACUCCGCAAGAAAUUGAAAAUAGCUGUCCAUCUGUUGGAUGAAAACGACAGGCGAAUUCCAACGGUUCCUUGGUUGGAAGAAGGAUUCCGUUUCCAACCUCUUAGUCCAGCUUUAAAAGGAGCUCAAGUCCACCAAAAUUCCCUGUUGCUGUCGCAUGCCGUUUUUUCAUUACUUCAAAAUAACGUCUGCAAUAGAGAAGAGCCCACCUCUGCAAUGGUAGAGACGGAUGGUAAAGGCGAGAAACCAACUCCAGUCGUGCAAUUGCCACCUUCCAUACCCUUAACCUCUACCAAGAAAUUUGUCUUGAACGCUUCCUCCUUUUUCAUCUUGAGAAUCUAUCAGUCGGGGACUCUCAUAGAAAAUAUUAUCAUUCGUCCUGUGCACAUGUUUGAACAUUGCGACUUUACGCGACAAUUGGGAGAAUUUUGUUUCCAAACCCAAAAGGUAUUCUGCAGCACAGUCAGUAAGGUCAUAUCCGGAGUUUACGUCGAAUUUCCGAUGGCCAACGCCGAAUUUCAGCCGGUGGUGCCCAAAAUGGAAAACUUCGACGCUGUGACACGGAAACCCAAGAAUGUGAAAACAUUUGCUGACCAGUUAGACGAGGUGGAGAUUUGUAAAAGAACUGAUAAUGAAGCUUUGAAGGAAACCAAGACGAUCGAAUAGGUUAGUCAGGAAGAGAUAGGACAUGGCGACGGCUAACGUUACCAACGAUCUAGAACAUUUCGUGAAUUGUGGUGUGUGUUUCUGCGAAUUUGACGAAGAAAUCAGGAAACCCAAAUUUCUACUAUGCGCCCACACGGUCUGUCUGAAGUGUCUGCAGGAAAUAUGUCGAGCUGGAGUGAUUACAUGCCCUUUUUGCCGAAAAAAUUUCCUAUACGACACUGCCAGUCUGCCCAACAAUUCCUAUGCCCUCCAGAUGAUCAAAUUAAAAGAGGAGAGAGAAAAUGCGAAGUGUCGAACUUGUGGAUCGGUAGGAAACGCAGAAAUCAUGGAGCAAACGAAGAAAUUGACCGCAGUUCUUAAGAAACGGAAAGAAGUACAAGGGGAAUUGGAUGCUAUCGCGGCUUCGGUUGCUGAUCAAGUGAAGAAACUUCAGGAAGAAAAUGAUAUCGAAAUUGGAAAACUGAUUUCGCUCAUUGAAGUUACUCCGCAACCAACAGCGUCAAGGUCUUUGCCAAAUGCAAUAUCCCCCAUGACCGCGGAUGCCAAAUUGUUGCAGUCGUCGAUGCAGUCUUACAUUUUCAUCCUGAAAGUGUCUAUUGACAUCUUGCUGCCAAUAGGUGAAAUUCGGAUCCGCCCAGCGCUCACAUUCCACCCGGAAUUUGUGCAACAGUUGGGACAGUUUUGCUACAAAUCUCCAAAGACUUUCACCUCUACUGUUGACAAGGCGCAGGCUGGAGUGUUCGUAUCAAUAUUUAUGUCUCAUUGGCAGUUCCGUCCAACUUUGGGGGCCACUAAUCAGACAGCUCGUAUUGGUGCCUCAAAAAUGGGUGAGGUUGGUGUGAUCUUUAAGAAAAGUAAUCUUAUACCCGUCGGUUUCGGCCCCAACACCAUUACCGAUUGGAAUUUUUUCAUACCGUUGAAUCCUGUAAACCUCCAGCAAAAGAGCGUAAUAUCUUCUGCUGGCGCCGAACUCUUUGGACACAUCAUCGACACGUGCAGUUCACCCAAUAAAGCAGUGGCUGAGCUGAGCAUGUCCAAAAGGAACGAAAGAGACCGCUACACAAUGUCUCUCGAAUCCCAGUAGUAUUUGUAAUGCGCAAUCCAGUUAUAAUUAACGAGCGCAAUUUGUCUUAUUAUUUAACACAUUGAAAGAUUAGAAUUUAACAUUGCCAAGAAUCAGUAAAAAAUUCUUCCCAAUAUUUUGAGUAGAAAUGAGUCCUAUAUGUUAACUGUCUAAUUAAAAUUAAAAUUCUAAUCAGUUCAACAUUUUUACUUGUCAUCUAUGCCAUUUUCUUUCGUUUCGCUUAUUCCAAUUUACUUCCAACUCUAACAUAAUGCAUUCGUCAUUCGUAUCUCGCAACAGCUUCCAACUUUUGUGCCCAUUUCCUCGAAUUGCUAUAUUACCCAUAAUCUAGCCUUGCAGAUAUCGCGACACCUGUUACACAACUUAAACGUU
rnacentral:misc_RNA from 1 species